UAAAUGAUUGAAAUAUUAAUU
rnacentral:piRNA from 1 species